rnacentral:rRNA from 1 species
UACGGAGGGGGCUAGCGUUGUUCGGAAUUACUGGGCGUAAAGCGCGCGUAGGCGGACCUGCAAGUCGGGGGUGAAAGCCCGAGGCUCAACCUCGGAACUGCCUUCGAUACUGCGGGUCUCGAGUCCGGGAGAGGUGAGUGGAAUUCCUGGUGUAGCGGUGAAAUGCGUAGAUAUCAGGAGGAACACCUGUGGUGUAGACAGCUUACUGGACCAUUUCUGACGCUGAGACACGAAAGCGUGGGUAGCAAACAGG